UACAGAGGUCCCGAGCGUUGUUCGGAUUCACUGGGCGUAAAGGGUGCGUAGGUGGCUUAGCAAGUUUGAUGUGAAAGCUCAGGGCUUAACCCUGAAAUGGCAUUGAAUACUGCUGAGCUGGAGGUUUGGAGGGGGGACUGGAAUUCUUGGUGUAGCAGUGAAAUGCGUAGAUAUCAAGAGGAACACCAGUGGCGAAGGCGAGUCCCUGGACAACACCUGACACUGAGGCACGAAAGCUAGGGGAGCAAACAGG
rnacentral:rRNA from 1 species